UACGUAGGGUGCAGGCGUUAAUCGGAAUUACUGGGCGUAAAGCGUGCGCAGGCGGUCUUUUAAGUCAGAUGUGAAAUCCCCGGGCUUAACCUGGGAACUGCGUUUGAAACUGGAAGGCUUGAGUGUGGCAGAGGGGGGUGGAAUUCCACGUGUAGCAGUGAAAUGCGUAGAGAUGUGGAGGAACACCGAUGGCGAAGGCAGCCCCCUGGGCUGACCCUGACGCUGAGGCGCGAAGGCGUGGGGAGCGAACGGG
rnacentral:rRNA from 1 species